UUGUCCUGGGAACAUUUGCCACAUCGGUGCAGUUUCAAUGUAAACCUUCGAGGUUUCCGGUUGAUGCAUCCACGGAGGAGACAAAACAGACAUGAUGCUUACGGUUGCAGUUGUUUUUCAGCUCUUGAAUUAAUGUUGUACGUGUGAAUUUGAUGUCUAUAUAGUUACGUUCAUGUUUUUAUCCAUAACGUUUGGUUUGAUCCACGCGCUCAUUUUGCGGUCAGCAGGGCUGGACGUUAAAGGUAACCUUGGCUCGCGUGACUAGUUUUUUUUGUACCUGGGGCCAGUUAACAAUAAAGA